UACGGAGGGUGCAAGCGUUAUCCGGAUUCACUGGGUUUAAAGGGUGCGUAGGAGGGUAGGUAAGUCAGUGGUGAAAUCUUCGAGCUUAACUCGGAAACUGCCGUUGAUACUAUCUAUCUUGAAUACCGUGGAGGUAAGCGGAAUAUGUCAUGUAGCGGUGAAAUGCUUAGAUAUGACAUAGAACACCAAUUGCGAAGGCAGCUCGCUACACGAAUAUUGACUCUGAGGCACGAAAGCGUGGGGAUCAAACAGG
rnacentral:rRNA from 1 species